rnacentral:rRNA from 1 species
CUCUCGGGGUGAUCAAUUUGUUGUUAUAUCUCCACUAAUGAGCAGAGAGGGGUAAAACUCUCAAAGUAAGUUUUGUGGGUCAAGGUAUGGUGAUGAAUUGGAGUUCUAGUUCAUUUACUUUGAGAAAAUUAGAGUGUUUAAAGCAGCCUCUUGGGGCACUGAAUACAUUAGCAUGGGAUAAUAAAAUAGGAUCUUUACAAUAUAUUUUAUUGGUUUAAAUUGAAAUAAAGAUAAUGAUUAAUAGGGACAGUUGGGGGUAUUCAUAUUGGGUGGUUAGCGGUGAAAUGCUCGGAUCCAUUCAAGAUGAACUAAAGCGAAAGCAUUUACCAAGGAUGUUUUCAUUAAUCAAGAACGAAAGUUAAGGGAUCGAAGACGAUUAGAUACCGUCGUAGUCUUAACUAUAAACU